AGGCAGCAGUGAGGAAUAUUGGUCAAUGGACGCAAGUUUGAACCAGCCAUGUCGCGUGCAGGAUGACUGCCCUAUGGGUUGUAAACUGCUUUUAUAUUGGAAGAAUUGCGCUUACGAGUUAAGCGUUGACG
rnacentral:rRNA from 1 species